AAUGGUGGGGGGGGAAUGAGCAGUACUCCAGCACAAAGGUGUUUCUGAAAUGGGAUUCAAAUGGUGGGGGGGAAUGAGCAGUACUCCAGCACAAAGGUGUUUCUGUAAUGGGAUUCAAAUGGUGGGGGGGAAUGAGCAGUACUCCAGCACAAAGGUGUUUCUGAAAUGGGAUUCAAAUGGUGGGGGGGAAUGAGCAGUACUCCAGCACAAAGGUGUUUCUGAAAUGGGAUUCAAAUGGUGGGGGGGAAUGAGCAGUACUCCAGCACAAAGGUGUUUCUGAAAUGGGAUUCAAAUGGUGGGGGGGAAUGAGCAGUACUCCAGCACAAAGGUGUUUCUGAAAUGGGAUUCAAAUGGUGGGGGGGAAUGAGCAGUACUCCAGCACAAAGGUGUUUCUGUAAUGGGAUUCAAAUGGUGGGGGGGAAUGAGCAGUACUCCAGCACAAAGGUGUUUCUGAAAUGGGAUUCAAAUGGUGGGGGGGAAUGAGCAGUACUCCUUUGUGUACAGCUUUUUAGUACAAUGACCAGGGCUCCAUCUCAUUAUGUCUUUACGCAAUUCCUCGCAUCCUAUCGCCACACCUCCUUCUCAACCGUAUUGGAGAAGGUCCAAGGGGUUUCUCUCAGACCUUCCUCUCCUACGUGUGUUGAGGAGGUGAGGAGAUAGGAUGCGAGGAAUCCAGGUUAAGAUCUAUUGAGAACGAGCCCUGGGUGCUAGUUAUAACAUUAUUAUGAAUCAAGGAGUACAGGGCUCCUGAGUGGCGCAGUGGUCUUAUGCACUGUAUCUCGGUGCAAGAGAUGUAACUACAGUCCCUGGUUUGAAUCCAGGCUGUAUCACAUUGGGCAGCGCACGAUUGGUCCAGUGUCAUCCAGAUUUGGCAGGUGUAGACCGUCAUUGUAAAUAAGAAUUUGUUCUUAACUGACCAGCCUAGUUAAAUAAAAGGUUACAUUUAAAAAUAAGGAGUAAGA